AUUGAACGCUGGCGGAAUGCCUUACACAUGCAAGUCGAACGGCAGCACGGGAGCAAUCCUGGUGGCGAGUGGCGAACGGGUGAGUAAUACAUCGGAACGUGCCCAAUCGUGGGGGAUAACGUAGCGAAAGCUACGCUAAUACCGCAUACGAUCUACGGAUGAAAGCAGGGGAUCGCAAGACCUUGCGCGAAUGGAGCGGCCGAUGGCAGAUUAGGAGUUGGUGAGGUAAAGGCUCACCAAGCCUUCGAUCUGUAGCUGGUCUGAGAGGACGACCAGCCACACUGGGACUGAGACACGGCCCAGACUCCUACGGGAGGCAGCAGUGGGGAAUUUGGACAAUGGGCGCAAGCCUGAUCCA
rnacentral:rRNA from 1 species